UUCAAUAUAAAUAUAAGCGUUGCAACAGCAUUCAGGAUUCAUUUGUUGAAGUGAUUUAAGUAAAUCGAAAAAUGAAGGUGUUUCUUUUGUUUUUGUUGCUUGUGACCCUUCUUGCUGUCACCAGUGCAGACCGUUCAUAUAAACCAGCUGUGAUGGUCUCAAAAAUCAAAGAGAAGCAUGACGGACCCACCACUCCCUCUACUUCAUCUUCUGGGCUUUCGAGUGUGCAACGUAUCCCAUCUGAAAUUUUAUUUGCGUCAACAUUCGGUCGGCGAUAAGGGCAUGAUGAUGAGCGAGGUUAUAUACAACAAAUAUAGAAAACUACAACAAUAAGUACAAAGUGUUUGAAUGGAUGUUUUUGUUUAAAUAUCUAGAUUAAGUUGUAAUAAAUUCUCGCUAAUAUACACAAAAUAGGUUUUAUUUACAAAAAAGCUAUAAUUAAGUCUCCUUACAGCUUCCUUGAAGAUCAAUCAGCUAUGUGAUGUUUUUGUAUAAUCCAAACAGUUGCAUUUUUUAACCUUAGGAUUUAAAUUCAGAAUUUCGGCUCUAAAUACAUUGGCCAAUUUGACUAAGCAUUUUUUAACUGAUAUCAACAAGUAUACCUGGCUAUACAAAUAUAUUUGUUUUUGCGCGGCAACAAAAUGGUUGAUGACGCAUGCGCGAAAACGUUGAUAGCUUGUCCGGGCAAAGACAAUGUAACUUUGCGCACAGCUGUUGAAGAUGCGCAACCGAUCGAAAUUGCGUCACUGCGCAUCGUUACCAAUGACAUUAAGAUAGGCACAGAUCAUAUAGUAUAAUUAUUUUGCAACGAUAGUAGUAAAUUGGUAUUUAAAACUAUGUAUUUUCAUAAUGACCUCCACAUCUGUGAUGCUAAUAUUUGAUAUCCCUUCUUUGAAAACUUAUAAAAAUAACCUGGAACCUUUAUCGGUGUCAUAAAUAAUUUUAAAUCAAACAAACAUAUUGAUGUUUUAAUACUUAGCUUUAUUACUUGGUGUCACAUUAUUUUUAUCACGACUGGGAAGACCCUAAUUUAGUACUUUUUAUUCAGAAAAGCAAAGCAUAUAUAAAGCCGAGUAAAAUAAUUAUUGCUUCACUCUCAACUUGUUUCAACAUCAAGACUUAUCAUAAUGAAAUUGUUUAUAUUUGUUGUCACUAUCUUCUUGGCCCUCUUUGCCGUUACCAACGCUGGACCAGUUACAGAACUGGAUCAGAUGAAUGGCCGACUGCGCGUGCGCAGCGAGGAUUGUAAUCUGAGGGAGUGUA